rnacentral:rRNA from 1 species
AACCUCCGCAAUGUGAGAAAUCGCGACGGGGGGAUCCCAAGUGCCAUUCUUAACGGGAUGGCUUUUCAUUAGUGUAAAGAGCUUUUGGAAUAAGGGCUGGGCAAGACCGGUGCCAGCCGCCGCGGUAACACCGGCAGCUCUAGUGGUAGCAGUUUUUAUUGGGCCUAAAGCGUCCGUAGCCGGUUUAAUAAGUCUCUGGUGAAAUCCUGUAGCUUAACUGUGGGAAUUGCUGGUGAUACUGUUGAACUCGAGGUCGGGAGAGGUUAGCGGUACUCCCAGGGUAGAGGUGAAAUUCUGUAAUCCUGGGAGGACCGCCUGUUGCGAAGGCGUCUAACUGGAACGAUUCUGACGGUGAGGGACGAAAGUUAGGGGCGCGAACCGGAUUAGAUACCCGGGUAGUCCUAACUGUAAACGAUGCGGACUUGGUGUUGGGUGGCUUUGAGCUGCUCCAGUGCCGAAGGGAAGCUGUUAAGUCCGCCGCCUGGGAAGUACGGUCGCAAGACUGAAACUUAAAGGAAUU